UGAUUACAUAUACAGAGACUGGCAAACUUUUUCCACUCAGAAGGAUAGUAGGAGGGUAAAGAAGAUAGAUUACAAUCACACAUUCUAAAAUAAAGAAGGCAUAUGGAAGUUACCGACUUUGAUGAUAUACAGAUGACUGAAUGUAGAUGACUAACCUACUGUCUACAGAAAGAGUGAAGAAGAAGGAAGAACGAGAGAGAAAGAGAAGAGAAAAUAUGAGAAUAUGAGAGCUUGAGAAUUUCUGCUGCUGCUUUGUUGCAUCCUUGAUGCAGUCUGCUUUCUUCAACUGAUCGAGUGGGUAUUUAUAGAGGAAUGACCCAGGAAAACUUGUGGCUGUGGAUGAUAACGUAACGACGAAGGAACCUGGGGAUAAGGUGAAUGGAAGCUUGUGGCUGAGGUUCGUUAGCGUAGCGACGAAGGAACCUGGGGAUAAGGUUGUCGUAUGAAGAGGGAUACGUGGCAGGUGUAGGGAGUAGCCCGACGUUGAGGAUGGUGAUGGAAGCGAUGGCGAAUCUUUUGUUGUCGAAAUAGUGGCAGUACAUGUGAGCAACGAAGAAGGAGAAGAGGCCACGUCGUUAGAAGCGUGACUAUGAU
rnacentral:lncRNA from 1 species